CAUGAGGAGGACAGAGCAUCAUUUUAAAAAGGGAAAGAACCAUAAAAGGAAUAGAGCAUCAUGGGAUGAAGGGAAGGAAGGAAGAAGAGAAUAGUGCAUCAUGGGAUGAAGGGAAGGCUUAGUGAGUCAGCAUCCACUGAUAUCUGAACAGGACAACUACAUUGCCAUUGCAAGGCAGGUAGCAUGUGAUGACUGGCUCAUCUUCCCCUUCCAGGUUGAUGAUGCCAUUGUCUGCGUUCACAGAUUGACUCUAAGAAAUUUCAGCUGUGAUAAAAGCUAUGCGAGGGCUACUAAGAGCAUACACGAUCCCUGGAACCAGACUUGAUGGGCUGAGGUUAUGUCAGCUAGGACAACCAGUGAAGAUUUCACACUGAAGAUGUUAUGAUGCCCCUGGACCUGUAUAACAUACAGCCUGUACAAUGGUAUGGAAAAUAUUUAUAUUGGAUCCUCAUGGGCUUUUCAUUUCUAGGAGCUAGGAAAUACCCUCCUUUUCUUGGCUUAGACCAUCUUCUUACAGAAGGAGAUAGAGUGUGGCAGGAGCAUGGAAGGGGAGUGGUCAGUAUUUCCUCUGACAGCCCUUGGAGAAGAGGAUGGUUAUUUGUGUUAGGCUGAUCCCCAGGGGGAGGGAUGACCUCUCUAAGGUCACACAGCAGGUGGAAUUGAGCAGAUGCUCUGCUUCCAGAUCCUGGUGGCUGAAGCCCUCAAUGUGGUCCUCUGCGCCCUUGUGGUAAUCUAUAUAUUGGUACCCGGAGUAAGAAUGGAGGUACAUGUGCUAUGUCCAGAGAGUCUCCUGUUAUAUUUGGAGCUCCUUGUCAUGGGAGCGAAGGUCAGAUUUGUUUUCAUGGUCUGCAAGCAAGUACUUGGCAAUAGAGGUAGACAGACUGACAAAUCACCAGCCAGAUGGACUUCCAAAAAGUAGACAUCACCCUGUUGAUCAUUUGUGAUCUGUUGUUAUAUAUAACUCUAGAACAAUUAAUGAUAACAGUAACUGAAAGUGAA